GAGGACUUGACCCUGAAGGCUUUGUGUAGUUUUGAAGGUCUAAGUAUCCGGUGGCGAUAGCGGAGGGGAAACACCCGUUCCCAUUCCGAACACGGAAGUUAAGCCCUCCAGCGCCGAUGGUACUGCAUAAGCGGGAGAGUAGGUCGCUGCCGGAA
rnacentral:rRNA from 1 species